rnacentral:rRNA from 1 species
CUUGAGUGCAGAAGAGGACAGUGGAACUCCAUGUGUAGCGUGAAAUGCGUAGAUAUAUGGAAGAACACCAGUGGCGAAGGCGGCUGUCUGGUCUGCAACUGACGCUGAGGCUCGAAAGCAUGGGUAGCGAACAGGAUUAGAUACCCUGGUAGUCCAUGCCGUAAACGAUGAUUACUAAGUGUUGGAGGGUUUCCGCCCUUCAGUGCUGCAGCUAACGCAUUAAGUAAUCCGCCUGGGGAGUACGACCGCAAGGUUGAAACUCAAAAGAAUUGACGGGGGCCCGCACAAGCGGUGGAGCAUGUGGUUUAAUUCGAAGCUACGCGAAGAACCUUACCAGGUCUUGACAUCUUCUGACAGUCUAAGAGAUUAGAGGUUCCCUUCGGGGACAGAAUGACAGGUGGUGCAUGGUUGUCGUCAGCUCGUGUCGUGAGAUGUUGGGUUAAGUCCCGCAACGAGCGCAACCCUUAUUACUAGUUGCCAGCAUUAAGUUGGGCACUCUAGUGAGACUGCCGGUGACAAACCGGAGGAAGGUGGGGACGACGUCAAAUCAUCAUGCCCCUUAUGACCUGGGCUACACACGU